rnacentral:tRNA from 1 species
GGCUUCACAGCUUAGUUGGUCGAGUAUCGCGGAGGUCACGGGUUCGAAUCCCGUUGAAGCCC